GCAUUUUUAACACAUUGCGCUGAAAUCAAGGGGAGUAAUUUUGUAACUUCCGGUUUAUUUAUUUGUCUUUUUUUUUCAUAGUUUGACAUGGAAAUAAACGCACCAGAGGAUGGUGAGAGCAGUGCAGAUUUAGCUGAGGAUGAGUUGAUAACUGUGAUGAAUGACAUAAUUGAUGAUGUCACACUCGGGCUUUGUUUUGAAGUGCACCGAUCUAGUAAACUUGGAACACUUUUCCUGGGCGAUACUGAUCCGCAGUCACAGGUUGAACAUGCAAUUGUGGACCGUCCAGGUGUUGAUGUAUUUGGAAACCCACCUGCGAAGAAACAGUUAGAAUGUGUGUGUCCAAACUGCCAGAGAAAUCUUGCUGCAUCAAGAUUUGCUCCACAUCUUGAAAAAUGUAUGGGCAUGGGAAGAAACAGUUCCAGGAUUGCUAGUCGCAGAUCACAGAAAGUGUUGAAAGACAGACUGGGACAAGAUCCAUUAAAACAUGACAGUGGGGAGAGUGAUGAUGAUUAUAAUGAUGCAGACUGGUCCAUGUACCCUGAUAAGAAAAUUAAAAAGUUAAGGAAGGAAAAAAGAAGCAAUUCUCCAAGACGACACAAAAAUUCACGUUUGAAGAAUGGAUCAGCAUUAGCGGAGUCAAGUCUUCAUCUGUCAGAAAUGGUGUACAAGCAGGAGAGGGCGGAUACCCCGGAUUCUAUAGGUGGUUACGAGUACAUGACACUAGAGGAUAAAAAGACUUUAUUAAUGUCUACAUGUGGAGUGAUUUCUGGUCAUACAAAGAAAAUGUGCACUAGGUCCCAUAAAUGUCCCCAACAUUCAGAUGAACAGAGACGACAAGUCAGACAUUUCUUGUUAGGAACAGGAUUACAUGGUGAUGAUGAUGAUAAUGUUGAUAUAGACACGUAUGUAGACGGUGAUAGUCAAUCUCUACGAGAAUCUCUACAGUGGGAGGCAGCGUCAAACACAUCCUCGCCAACCGAUUCUACAUCUACAAAUAACAGUAAUAGUAAUUCACACAGUAGUUCCAGAAAACGUCACGGAAAAAGUAGUUCCAAGUCAUCAAAGAAAAGAAAGUUGGCAAAGUCUCAUUCAUAUCAUAGUUCCGUAGUGUCAAAUAGUCAGUUACCUAAUAUGUAUGAAUUUGAUUGAUGUUUACAUGUAUUUUAGUUAAUUUAUUAAAUUGCAAUAUUUAAAUAUUGUAGUGUUACUGGUAAAGAGUUGCUAAUUUGCAUAAUUUAUGCUAUAUUGUCAAAGGUGAAAUAUAUCCCUAUGGAACAAGUGCUUCUCCAUUUAGGUUAAUCAAUGUCUGUAGGUUUGCAAUAUUGCUUGAUCAUUUUAAGCUUGACUAAUGGAAGAACAGGUAGAUCUAUCUGACUUACCUAUUCGUCGGUAUCCGCGUGAUGCCGUCUGCAAGGCAUCAGUGUAUCGAUUUGGUUAUGUUUUUGUAUGUAAGCUGGUAUCUCGGUAACCACUUAUGGGAGUACUUUGAAACUUCACACACUUAUUCACUGUGAUAAACUGACUUACAUUGCUUUGGUUCAGUAACUGUUUCGCUUUUUUACAAAAUUAUGCCACUUUUUGGGCGUUCAUAUUUAUUCAUUUGACAAGGGUGUUGAAUAGUCAAGCAUUGCUGUCUUCUGACAGCUCUUAUUAGCUCAUCUGAUUUUUUGAAAAAAAAUGAUGAGUUAUUGUCAUCACUUGAGCGGUUGUCGGCGUC
rnacentral:misc_RNA from 1 species